rnacentral:rRNA from 1 species
AGUUUGAUCCUGGCUCAGGAUGAACGCUAGCUACAGGCUUAACACAUGCAAGUCGAGGGGCAGCAUGGUCUUAGCUUGCUAAGACUGAUGGCGACCGGCGCACGGGUGAGUAACACGUAUCCAACCUGCCGUCUACUCUUGGACAGCCUUCUGAAAGGAAGAUUAAUACAAGAUGGCAUCAUGAGUCCACAUGUUCACAUGAUUAAAGGUAUUCCGGUAGACGAUGGGGAUGCGUUCCAUUAGAUAGUAGGCGGGGUAACGGCCCACCUAGUCUUCGAUGGAUAGGGGUUCUGAGAGGAAGGUCCCCCACAUUGGAACUGAGACACGGUCCAAACUCCUACGGGAGGCAGCAGUGAGGAAUAUUGGUCAAUGGGCGAGAGCCUGAACCAGCCAAGUAGCGUGAAGGAUGACUGCCCUAUGGGUUGUAAACUUCUUUUAUAAAGGAAUAAAGUCGGGUAUGCAUACCCGUUUGCAUGUACUUUAUGAAUAAGGAUCGGCUAACUCCGUGCCAGCAGCCGCGGUAAUACGGAGGAUCCGAGCGUUAUCCGGAUUUAUUGGGUUUAAAGGGAGCGUAGAUGGAUGUUUAAGUCAGUUGUGAAAGUUUGCGGCUCAACCGUAAAAUUGCAGUUGAUACUGGAUAUCUUGAGUGCAGUUGAGGCAGGCGGAAUUCGUGGUGUAGCGGUGAAAUGCUUAGAUAUCACGAAGAACUCCGAUUGCGAAGGCAGCCUGCUAAGCUGCAACUGACAUUGAGGCUCGAAAGUGUGGGUAUCAAACAGGAUUAGAUACCCUGGUAGUCCACACGGUAAACGAUGAAUACUCGCUGUUUGCGAUAUACAGCAAGCGGCCAAGCGAAAGCGUUAAGUAUUCCACCUGGGGAGUACGCCGGCAACGGUGAAACUCAAAGGAAUUGACGGGGGCCCGCACAAGCGGAGGAACAUGUGGUUUAAUUCGAUGAUACGCGAGGAACCUUACCCGGGCUUAAAUUGCAGAUGAAUUACGGUGAAAGCCGUAAGCCGCAAGGCAUCUGUGAAGGUGCUGCAUGGUUGUCGUCAGCUCGUGCCGUGAGGUGUCGGCUUAAGUGCCAUAACGAGCGCAACCCUUGUUGUCAGUUACUAACAGGUUCUGCUGAGGACUCUGACAAGACUGCCAUCGUAAGAUGUGAGGAAGGUGGA